UUGCAUGUGGAAAUACCUUCUCCUCAUUCUCUUAGGAGCAGGAAUGCAUCCAGAACAUGCUACAUUAAAAGAGGAGUUCUCAGGGCUGCCAACCUUACAGUAGAGGUUGGGUAGUAGUAUAUUUCUCCUACAGAA
ensembl:snoRNA Gm25663 small nucleolar RNA U109